rnacentral:rRNA from 1 species
CCUACGGGAGGCUGCAGUGGGGAAUAUUGCACAAUGGGGGCAACCCUGAUGCAGCGACGCCGCGUGAGUGAAGAAGUAAUUCGUUACGUAAAGCUCUAUCAGCAGGGAAGAAAAUGACGGUACCUGAGUAAGAAGCCCCGGCUAACUACGUUCCAGCAGCCGCGGGAAUACGGAGGGGGCAAGCGUGAUCCGGAUUUACUGGGUGUAAAGGGAGCGUAGACGGUGGGACAAGUCUGGAGUGAAAUGCCGCGGCUAAACCGGGAAAUUGCUUUGGAAACUGGCGAACUAGAGUGCGGUAGGGGUAGGCGGAAUUCGUGGUGUAGCGGUGAAAUGCGUAGAUAUCAGGAGGAACACCGGUGGCGAAGGCGGCUUACUGGACCGUAACUGACGUUGAGGCUCGAAAGUGUGGGGAGCAAACAGGAUUAGAUACCCCAGUAGUC